rnacentral:rRNA from 1 species
ACGGGAGGCAGCAGUGGGGAAUAUUGCACAAUGGGCGAAAGCCUGAUGCAGCGACGCCGCGUGAGUGAUGAAGUAUUUCAGUAUGUAAAGCUCUAUCAGCAGGGAAGAAAAAUGACGGUACCUGACUAAGAAGCACCGGCUAAAUACGUGCCAGCAGCCGCGGUAAUACGUAUGGUGCAAGCGUUAUCCGGAUUUACUGGGUUUAAAGGGUGCGUAGGCGGACGCGUAAGUCAGUGGUGAAAUAUGUCGGCUCAACCGGCAGGCUGCCAUUGAUACUGCGCGACUAGAGUCCAAACGGCGCCGGCGGAAUAUGUCAUGUAGCGGUGAAAUGCUUAGAUAUGACAUAGAACACCGAUCGCGAAGGCGGCUGGCGAGGAUGCGACUGACGCUGAGGCACGAAGGCGUGGGGAUCGAACAGGAUUAGAUACCCUGGUA